rnacentral:misc_RNA from 1 species
CCGCGAAGUAGAUGUUCUUGCAGUUGUCCACGACGAAGUCGUCCGCGCGCGGCUGGUCCCGGCUGCUGUCGAUGAUGGAGCCCAGGAAGUCGCGGCCGGGCGCCAGCGCCGCCGCUGCCGCCUUGCGCUCGCUCGCCAGCUGCAGGAUCAGCGACCGGAUCUCGUGCGUGAGCUUCCAGAUCCUCCGGUUCUUCCUCGUGGGCAGGUGCCUGAGCGACGGGAUGGUGAAGAUGACGCUGGUCUCGGACAUGAGGCCCGACAGCGCCCUGAGCCGGAGGAAGAUCUCCCGCCCCCUGGAGUAGUCGCCCCCGAAGCAGGCCCUGGAGAUGACGUCGAAGG